rnacentral:lncRNA from 8 species
GCAAUUUAUCACAAUAAACUCUACUUCAGGCGAGCAAAAUCUAGAGACUCACAGUUAAGAGGCUCACAGUUAACUGUUCAUUAAAAGAAACUGUAACAAAGAUGAUGGGGUGUGCCUUUCACCAUCUCAGUAGAGUUUGGUGCCAAGUCUUUACAAAUGGUCCUAGUUAUAUUAAAACAGUCAAACGAGAGUUGCAACUGACCACUAUAUUGGUUUUAGUGAGCACGGUUCACAUAAGAAGUGUAACAAUUAUUUGUCACCUUGAAUGAGUUCCUUUGAAAAUGUGGGUGUCUCAAAGGUACGCUGAACAUGCAGUUCAGUUUGAGGCAAAACUAUUUUCCUGAAAGCCCAUUCUGAACUGAUAGGCCUUACAGAUGUAGUAAAUUGGUGGAAAUUGUGGAAAUUACAAACUUUAGAAGCCUUCUAAAACUCAAAUACACUACAAGUUUGCAUUUCCUGCUUUGCAGGAAAAUUCUCAGCAACAAAAGAGUGAUCAAAUUAAGAUCCUACAUCUGUACAUGUUGUUUUGGGUCAUACACAGCCCAGCCUAGUCUGAGACACUUACUAGAUUCCUUCACACCGGUCACGCCACACCUGCAACGUGCGGGCAGGAAAAAAUAAGUGACAGGAGUUGGCGAUGAAGUGCAAACACAUCUUAGGGGCCGAGUUCCUGUCCAAGCUGGGACAUGUGAAAGACUUCUCCCACUGGCCGAAGCAGCCUCCCCAUACCCUUUGGCCUCAAGGGAAGCUGGUCUACUUCCUCCCAUUUUUUUUAUCAAAGAAUGUGCCAAUAAGCAGCAAUCGGCAAGAAUGUGAACAACUUUUCCAGUGGUUGGUAGCAGUGGCUCACACAGCUCUGCAGACCCCUAAAAAGGACCCAGGACGGGAGCGCUCAGUUGAACCACCAUGAAGACUGUUAGGAUAGCCCUUCUCAUCCUCCUCCUAACCCCACUCAAGCUCCUCACUACAGCAACUGAGACACCCAAUACAAGUGUUCCUUCUGUCAUUACAUCUGUCCGUACAACCGAUGCUGCUGCCACCGCUGCUGUGACCACACGCAGGACAGAGACCAAAUCUGCCACAGUAACUGCCACAGUAACUGCCACGGAAAAACCAGCAUCAACAACAUCCCAUCUCUCAGUGCGUUCCACAUCUCUACGUGCUAAGGAUGAUGAAAAAGUGGCAGAGACCCAGGCCACAACAACUGUUCCCACGAGUGACCCACUCAAAGAUGUGACCACAGUUCAGCCUAUAUCAAAGACUCACUUACAAGGUAUUCAGACAACCACACAGAGCCAUGGUUUUCCUUCACCAGGAUCCUUGACCACCUCCAGACCAGAAGAGAAAGUUUCAGGUGGUGGAAUUACAGGUGGUCACCAUGCUGGAGAUGAAGAACCGGAAACUCCUAAAUCAAAUAAGAAGAUGCUGUGGAUUCUUUUGCCAGUCUUGGGAGUUGUGGUGGCUGCUGUCAUCUUCAUUUUCAAAUUUAAAUGCAUGAAGGUCCACGAUCACACAGAGGCAAUUGAUAAUGGAACAGAAAAUGCCUCUUUCCAGAGCAGGUCGGACAGCACCAAAGAUGGUGUCAUGCUUCUCGGGGUGAAGUCCUCAGGUGCUGCUGCACGAUAAAAAGGAGGGCGUCCCAUUCUACAGUAUAUGACCAAUAGCUCUCACAACCCAAAAAAUGGUCAAGACCUUCAACUAUCUAAAAAUGCUGGACAAUCAAAUAUGGCGUAUAAGAAUCCCAAAAGCUAAGUGGGCACAUUCUUAUACUGUAUAGUGUGGAAAGAAGAUUGGUGUGGAGUAUUGUAGGAUAUGGGACUCUUAACUGAACAUGUGUCUGUUAAAAAAUGUUCACUAAGAUACUGUAUAUCAUUUCAAAAAUAUGUACUUCACUGUUUUUUGUAUUCUUAUUUUGAUGGUAAUUUAGCCAAGGAGGAACUGCGAUCUCAAUUUAAUCAAGACUAACAUCCAGACAUUUCAUUCAGGAAAACAAUGCAAGAUUUUGAAUGAAUAUAAAUAAAUUAACCCAAAAGCUCAUUGUCUGGGUGCAAGAGGAUUGUUUGUCUCAUCCCUGUAUUUAAGAUACUGGUUUUGAUUUUAUAUCACACAAACAUGUAUGAAAUCCAAAUGCAUUGAACCUGAAUUCAGCACACAAUUCCUUGGUUCAAACCAGUUAGUGACCAGUACACAUUAUUAAGUGUUUGUAUGCUUUAAAUCUGUUGUAAUAAAUGAUUUAGCUUUCAGUGUAAAUGCCAGGAUUGUAAAGAUUAGCUAUAUUGCCGGUAUGUUUCCUGCUUUUCAACCAGUUUUUGUGUAUAUUAGAGCAAACAAUAAGACUUCCCACUGGUCAAAGAUGAUUUGAAUUUCUCAAAUAAAGAAGAACGUUAUUUGACUGAUCGGCAUUGGUUGAAUAUUUGUUGUUUUGCACCUGUACAUGCUCACGAAAGUUUAUGUUGAUUUUGGAUGUUGAUUUCACCUGGCUACACACCAUAUCUUUAAUGUGCUGAAUUAUGUAACGCAACCAUACAAAAGGCUAUGGAGAAUAAACUAUUCAGUAUAGGAGAGCUGUAGCUCCGCCCACCGGUUAUGUGGAGUAGAGCAUGCUGGGCGAUCUCCAGCUCUGAGGAUAAGGAAGUAACUAGAGAAAAGUCAAGUGAUUAGUUCAAGCCAUCUAUUGUUUUUUCCUUUAGUUAGCAUUAUUUGUUUUACCAAGGCCAGUGUGUGUCCUUCAGAAAUAUGAGUACAUAUUUCUUACUCUUCAUGUGUUAAUGUUGUGGACGUACUCGCUGACAAUUAUGUAGUUUAUCUUUGUUAUGCUAAUUUACGUUUUUGCCACAAAGCUAGCAAAUGCAAGCUUGCUAGCUCGGUUGUUUUUGUCAUCUCAUUUCGGACAUUUGUGAUUUGUAUAGUAUAAUGUUCCCCAGUGCCUUGUUUAUAUGCCCUGUAACUAUAAAUACUGUAUGUGUGAAGUAUAGUUUAUUUGGUUUUAUUGUGUAUUGUGUAGACAUGCAUUCAAGUUCAUGCAGUUGUGUGAGGAUGAUGGUGCUGCUUUGUAGUGCUGGGUGGCUGCACCCUUCUGAUCUUUUAUUAGUGAAGUCACAGCCAUGUUGAUAGGCUGUUUUGUCCUGUGCAGCACAUUAGCUAUUGAAGCCAUAUUAUUGUUUAUAGCCAAUGUAAUUGGAGGAUGUAUUAAGCUUAUACCUGCCAUUUACUAUUGCAUUUACAUUCCCCUUUUACUUUCACAACCACACACACUCUUGGUUAAAACAGUUGUCAAGCCAUACCUCAAAUUGCCUUAGCCCAUACACUGUGCUAUGCCGUUCCUGCUCUAUGUGAAUCAGCGUUAUUAAACCACCUCAACUGGAAUCCUACCUGUCUGUCAUCUGUGCCCUUACAAGUACCUGGGAGAGAACAUAUUAAGUGGUAAGAAAACCCUAAGAAUAUACAGUCCAACAGGUCCUCCACUUCAUUUUGGUCCAUUCGACACAGUGCUUUCUUCCAGAGCAAGCUGCAAGACUAGUAUGUGAGUGAAGCUUUCACACAGCCAUCAGUUUGUCCGAAGCGUCAGACACAGCUACCACAGCAUCUACAAAAU